CCUACGUGUGGCAGCAGUGGGGAAUAUUGGGCAAUGGGCGCAAGCCUGACCCAGCGACGCCGCGUGAAGGAAGAAGGCUUUCGGGUUGUAAACUUCUUUUCUGAGGGACGAAGAAAGUGACGGUACCUCAUGAAUAAGCCACGGCUAACUACGUGCCUGCAGCCGCGGUAAUACGUAGGUGGCAAGCGUUAUCCGGAUUUAUUGGGUGUAAAGGGCGUGUAGGCGGGAAAGCAAGUCAGAUGGGAAAACUCAGGGCUCAACCCUGAGCCUGCAUUUGAAACUGGUUUUCGUGAGUGCUGGAGAGGCAAUCGGAAUUCCGGGUGUAGCGGGGAAAUGCGUAGAUAUACGGAGGAACACCAGUGGCGAAGGCGGAUUGCUGGACAGUAACUGACGCUGAGGCGCGAAAGCGUGGGGAGCAAACAGGAUUAGAUACCCGGGUAGUC
rnacentral:rRNA from 1 species